CAAAAUUGUUGUCGAACCACUCGAGGAAAAGUUGUUCUUGUGUUGCCCAGGCUCUCUUAUUGGAUUUAUAAACUACAGGAAGUUUGCAUCUGUUUGUUCCAGCCGCAUUACCACAAAGCAAAGCUGUUAUGUUCUCCUUGGAUGCUUUGUAUCCAUCGAUGGAUAAUUGUUUUCCAGUUACCAGCUAACACUUUCAAAAAAUGGGCUGGUUUCGUCGGCGUUAUAAAUUUGUUCAGUUGACUGAUUUUCACUUUCAAUAUAUUCGCUUAUUGCAAAUGCAAAUUUUCUCACAUAUCAAUGAGUGCAGUCCGAUUCAAGUAGAAGCUCAAUGAUAAGGGGGCUCCUUUUUAUAGCCGAGUCCGAACGGCGUGGUGCAGUGCGACAUCUCUUUGGAGAGAAGUUUUACAUGGCAUAGUACCUCACAAAUGUUGCCAACAUUGGGAGGGGAAAAACCACCGCUGAAAAUUUUUUCUGAUGGUCUCGCCAGGAUUCGAACCCAGGCGUUCAUCGUCAUAGGCGGACAUGCUAACCUCUGCGCUACGGUGGCCUCCUUUUUAGUUAUUACUUCACCUAAAAUU